UUAGGUUGGUGAAAAAGUAAUUGUGGUUUUUGCCAUUGAAAGUAAUGGCCGAAACCUCAAUUACUUUUGCACCAACCUAAUA
ensembl:miRNA